rfam:Apaloderma vittatum contig90996, whole genome shotgun sequence.
GGCCAGUUAGCUCAGUCAGUUGAGCGUGGCACUGAGAAUGCCAAGGUCGCAGGUUCAAUUCCUGUUCGGUCCC